rnacentral:rRNA from 1 species
ACACGACUACAUUAGAUACCCCGGUAGUCCCGGCCGUAAACUAUGCUCGCUAGGUGUCAGGGACGGUGCGACCGUUUCUGGUGCCGCAGGGAAGCCGUGAAGCGAGCCACCUGGGAAGUACGGUCGCAAGGCUGAAACUUAAAGGAAUUGGCGGGGGAGCACCACAACGGGUGAGCUUGCGGUUUAAUUGGAUUCAACGCCGGAAAUCUUACCGGGACCGACAGCAACAUGAAGGCCAGGCUGAAGACUUUGCCGGAUUAGCUG